rnacentral:piRNA from 1 species
UCAGAGAGGCAUAAAGAUAGACUGAAGCGGU